rnacentral:tRNA from 1 species
GGAGAGGUCGCAUAGUUGGUCUAUUGCGCCGCACUCGAAAUGCGGUAGGCCAGAAAUGGCCUCGUGAGUUCGAAUCUCACCCUCUCCG